CUGGCACAUUAUUCCGAAUAAUAAAUGCCAGAUCAUACUGCUGGAGACGCCGACAGAGAAGCCGAGAGGAGGGCGACUGAGGACACCCUGAGGUCUGGGCGAGAUCGGUCCGUCCUACUCUUACCCCGCUGCGGCCGCAGGGCUCGCCCCUUCCCCACCCGUAUCCCGGCUUCCGGGCUAAAGGAACACGUGAGGCCGAACCAAACCGAGUAGAGGGCGCCAGGGCAUCCCGCCCGAGCUGCGGAGACGCGGGCCCCUCCUCUUACCCAAAACCAAAUGGGCAGGGGGCUCCGCUGCAGAGGGCUCGCCGAGGCGCUCGCCUUCACCCGGCGCCGCGCAGGUGCCCGCGCUCCUGCGGGGAGAGCCGAGUGGGGUCACUGCCGCAGGCUCUUUCUGGAAGCCCCUCCACCAGCACUGCUGUGGCCUGCGGCCUCCGCCACCCGGACGCGCCUACACACUAAGCGCGCGCUGGGGCUACGCUGGGCGGGGCCCACGGCGGCGUGGCUGUGGGGGGGCCGCCGAGCCGCCGCCUCCGCCCUGGGCGCAGGGCGUGGCCCUCCUCCCGCCCAAGGUGCUAGGCGCCCGGUGCGGCCGUCUCGCCCCUAAGCCGGGCGCCAGAUCCCCCGCAGCCUUCUCGCUCCCGACAGCCGGGCCGGGGCAGGGGUCAGGGAGGUGGAGCCAGGUGCGGAAAGGGUUUCAGCCUCGGGGGCUGAGACCGGGAGGUGAAGGCGCCGCUCCCCGAAGUGAGGAAAACGCCGGUGAGGAAGAAGCUCUUUCCAGGUCCUGUGCGUGUUGAUGUCUUUAGAGCUCAUUAGGGUUGGUUGGUUUUUAAAUUUCUUUUGAUCAGGUGAAAUUUAUUUAAAG